rnacentral:rRNA from 1 species
CCUACGGGGUGCUGCAGUGGGGGAUAUUGCACAAUGGGGGAAACCCUGAUGCAGCGACGCCGCGUGGGUGAAGAAGCGCCUCGGCGCGUAAAGCCCUGUCAGCAGGGAAGAAAAUGACGGUACCUGAAGAAGAAGCCCCGGCUGACUACGUGCCAGCAGCCGCGGUAAUACGUAGGGGGCAAGCUGUAGCCGGAUUUACUGGGUGUAAAGGGGGCGCAGACGGCGAUGCAAGCCAGGAGUGAAAGCCCGGGGCCCAACCCCGGGACUGCUCUUGGAAGUGCGUGGCGAGAGUGCAGGAGGGGCAGGCGGAAUUCCUGGUGUAGCGGUGAAAUGCGUAGAUAUCAGGAGGAACACCGGUGGCGAAGGCGGCCUGCUGGACUGCAACUGACGUUGAGGCCCGAAAGCGUGGGGAGCAAACAGGAUUAGAUACCCGAGUAGUC